UCAUUGUACCAGUUAUCUUUUUUUUUAGCCUUUUGUAAACAACGCAAGCGAUGAGGAAAAUUAAGCUUUUCUUGUCUAGCUUUUACAUAUUUGAAAUUGGAAGGAAUCAAUUAAGAGAACAUUUUACUCCUGAUGAAUAGGAAAACUUGAUUAGCUUCAUGGAAAUAAGAUGGAUAUACCAAUCCAUCUCUAUUCAUUUGAUAAUUUAUUCCACCCUGGAUAUAUCUUUGAUUUAGGAAUUCAAGCACAAUAUGGUUUUGUCUGUAGAUUGAUCUGUAAAAUUUUCUCAGGGAGAAACAUAGCAAUGACAGUUCUUGGAACAAUAGGUUUCCUGCGAUUGUGGUGCAGAAAGAUGAGGCAUACUAAGAAGGUUUUUUGCAUACAAAACUCAAAGAAAUCAAGUCAUUUGUUCGAUAACUAUUUUGGCAAGGAAUUUCCAGAGUAUGCAUU